UAAAUUUUGUUAAUAGAGUAAAAAACAGUGCAUAUAGAGCCAAAAAUAUGAUAAGUCUUAUCAGUGGCAUUCUGGAUUGCCUCUUGGAGAAUUCUUCAUCGCAAUUUCGUUCAUCAUCAUCGCAUCACGUUCGUCCUUCACCCGCCACGGUCUUUUGUUCGUCGCGCAUCCUCCAUGGUAUUAUGGUCGUCGCGCAUCCGCCAUGGCAUCGUGUUGUUUCACGAUUUCAUAGCGGCUUCGAGUCAUCCGAAACGCGCUCUGGUUCAUGUUGUAAAUGCGCCGCUUAAUAUCGCGUUUCAACACCGAACUCCAUGGAUUCACACUUCACCGCUUAACAUUAUUGCGCGUGGAUUCAAUUCACUGAUCCAAUGACUUAUCAAGAUUGCCCCACCGCAAAUCCUAAUGGCGUCUAAUAACAACUACCGAUAGAAUCAUGAAGGAAGAAAACUCAUCGGUUCGUCCUGACAGCAAAAACAGUUGAUGGAGAUUGCCGCAGAUCUAUGGAAGAACGAUGCAGAUCGACGCAAAAGAAAAAGCUUCGAUGCAGAAUGCAACAGCUUAUACAGAAAUAUGGAAUUUUCCAGGUUGCUGAAUCGAAGUGCAGAAACGGAAAAACACGACGAGACUGAGAGAGAGUGAUUGAAGAAGAGUGAAACGGAAUGGAGGUUGAACAGAGUGAAAAUCCAACCGAAUGAGGAUUCAAUUGGUUAAAUAGAGGAUCAAUCAUAACUAACUCGGGCAGGCCCUUGGGCAACCAGGUGGAAUGCGACAUUAACGAAAAGCCAAUGGAAUGCACCACAUAGUGAAAAUCCAGCUACUGUAGUAGGCCUAUUAAAUUGUAGUGGAAGUACUUUGGAAUCAAUAUUUCUUAUCAGUUCAAAAUAUGGUGAAUGCAACACUUGCUUAGGCUUGGGAUCAUGGAUCAAACAUGUUUGGAUUGGACUUUAUUGAUUCAAGUUAAGUUGUAGUUUAUGGAAUGUAAUGUAAAUGUUAAUGGAGUUGAAAGGUUUUUUUUUGUAAAUGAAAAUAGAUUGAGGGUUAUUUGUAUGCUAGCAUUGUCUUGUAUGAAUGGUCAUAAUUGAAAUCUUUGAAUUUGAAUAAAUGUGAAUGUGUGAAUUGGUUUGAA